rnacentral:rRNA from 1 species
UACAGAGGUCUCAAGCGUUGUUCGGAUUCAUUGGGCGUAAAGGGUGCGUAGGUGGCGCCGUAAGUCGGGUGUGAAAUUUCGGAGCUUAACUCCGAAACUGCAUUCGAUACUGCCGUGCUUGAGGACUGGAGAGGAGACUGGAAUUUACGGUGUAGCGGUGAAAUGCGUAGAUAUCGUAAGGAAGACCAGUGGCGAAGGCGGGUCUCUGGACAGUUCCUGACGCUGAGGCACGAAGGUCAGGGGAGGCAAACGGG